UCCAGGUGCCUGAUUAGGGCAGCCAUUUUGAGGCUUAGGCUGCUUAUAUAAACAAGGCAGUUUGGCUGCAGGAGGUCAGGCAGCAACAUCACCUGGCUGAAGGGCUGCUGUGAAUGACCUGGAGAAGGAGUACCCUAACCAUUGGACAAUGGAUAAGGUAACUUGUAUCAUCACAGAGCCCAGAGAUACCUCACCACAUAAGAAAUUCCUGCCUAGAAGAGCAUUCCAUCCUUUUACUCUUUUGUGGAAUAUGAAACAUCAUAACCAGAAGGAAAUAUGACUACAUCCUGCUUGCCACCAAACAACUUUGAGAAGGAAGUUCUAACUGACUGUGCCAAUUAUGACACCAGUGAUAUCUGUGACUGUUUUUUCAGAGACAGAGAUAGUAUUCUAAUCACUCUCUCUACUUGAUAAACUGCUCUGUGCAUGUUCCUUCGCAGCAUCUGAUGAAGUAAGGUUGAACACCAUGAAAGAUUAUACAUCUCUGAUUUUAGUCAGUCUGUAAGCUACAUCUCUACCCUGCCUUCUGUCUUUAUUUCUUCAGCUGGUUUACAUAUAGAUUAAUAGUAAUAAAGGAUUUGAGAUAAAAAAGUAAGGUUAUAUUAGUACAGAGGUAGUUACUGUUCCUAAUAAACUUAUGGCUUUUCAUCUAGAGUUUUGCAGGAAUUUAAGUCCUAUAUUAUUGAGCAGAUAAAGUAUAUGUUGUAGUAAAUGGUUAAGGUUGUAGUCCCUAUUUUAUAUUCCUCUUUUCCCCUAGGAGUUUGUGACUCAACAAACCAUUUUAUGAGCAAAAACUUUGUAGCAUACAAGGUCUCACUGAUUAAAUACAUUUUUCUUAAAUUUUCAAAACACUAUAUUUUUUAAAGGCUAAAAAAACUAUACCUAGUGGAUGUUAUUUCUUUUUAAGCCUUUAGCUAUGUAGCCAAAAUUGAUAAAUUCUGAAGAGCCAAAUUCCAUAACUAUAGAGAUUAUGAGGUAGCUGAAACUUUUAAUUCAGGUGAUUACGUGAUCUACUGCCUGGUCUAUAGAACAUGUAAACUUUGUGAGCCCAAACAUGAAUAAUUCUGUGAACAUGAUGGAGAUACUUGUAGACAUAAUAUAUUCUGAAAUAAAAUAAUUGGGGGAAAAUUAUACUUUAACUUGCUUAAGUGUUGCUUUAGAGUUUACGGUCCAUAGGUGGAAAUGGACAGACCAUUCCAAGGUUCUGAGUUUUGUUAGAACUGUCAUGGGAGUCCUUAAUCAAGAGCAUAUUUUACAGUCUCUAAAUUUUAUAAACCCUAUAAUAGUAAGCAUAAAGAUUACAAACUUUAUAGGAUGAAUUUACAAGUCUUGUAAAUGAGGGGCUCUAUCUGUGGAUUUUAUAAGGUUCAAUGGAACACCUGCAAACUUUGGACAGCCAUAACUACAGACUUUAGGCCUCACUCUGAACAGUCUGCUAUACUUCACUGAUGUCAGAUGGAACCAAAGAAAAUGAGAGGUUAAAAAAAAAAAAAAGGAAAGGGUCCCCUUUUUCUCUGUUCACCUUCCACUAUACUGCAGAUAUAGUCUUGUUUCACAGCAAUUAUUUAUGGAAAGACUCUGUUCAUUAUUUGUAAGAAAGUGUUUGCAAAUUUUGUCUGCAGUGCUGCAAAAAUGAGUUCUUUGAACAAAAAUAUUUCAUUUACAGAUUUAAUUCUGCAGAAUGUGUAAAUUAUUGACUUUUUUUAAAGAUAUUCACUUUAGAUAGUAGAUGUCUCUGUCACAUGUACCUGCAUAAUUUCUAUAUAUUCCAAACAGGAUUAAUUGGCUCUCAGUUCACAGAUACUGUGGGUUAUGCCAAUAGGCUUUGGAAUCAUUUUCAGCCACAGCUUUUUAUCUUAUUGAAUUAGGAGAUACCUUGAAAAAUACCGAGAAAUUUUGUAUUACUUAGACCAUGUACUUUGACUUAAAUCAAGGCUACCCCACUGGCAGCUCAUGGGGCCUUUGUACAUGCCACGU